rnacentral:rRNA from 1 species
AUCGAACGCUGGCGGCAGGCCUAAUACAUGCAAGUCGAGCGGAGCGGUGGACUGGUGAGUAAUGCCUAGGAAUCUGCCUGGUAGUGGGGGAUAACGUCCGGAAACGGGCGCUAAUACCGCAUACUAUCUGAUCAGCCUAGGUCGGCUUAGCUAGUGGGUGGGGUAAAGGCCUACCAAGGAGACUAUCCGUAACUGGUCUGCGAGGAUGAUCAGUCACACUGGAACGGAGACACGGUCCAGACUCCUACGGGAGGCAGCAGUGGGGAAUAUUGGACAAUGGGCGAAAGCCUGAUCCAGCCAUGCCGCGUGGGUGAAGAAGGUCUUCGGAUUGUAAAGCACUUUAAGUUGGGAGGCGUUACCAACAGAAUAAGCACCGGCUAACUUCGUGCCAGCAGCCGCGGUAAUAC